rnacentral:snoRNA from 1 species
AACCCAUGGUAAGGGCACCUUCUCAAUAAGUCCUUAUACCUCUUCCAUGCAUCAUAUAGAGUCUCUAAAUCCAUUUGCACGAAGGAAGAGAUAUCAUUCCUCAGAGAU